UACGGAGGAUGCGAGCGUUAUCCGGAUUUAUUGGGUUUAAAGGGUGCGUAGCGGACUGUCAAGUCAGCGGUAAAUCGUGGAGCUCAACUCCAUCCAGCCGUUGAAACUGAUGAUCUUGAGUGGGCGAGAAGUAUGCGGGAAUGCGUGGUGGUAGCGGUGAAAUGCAUAGAUAUCACGCAGAACUCCGAUUGCGAAGGCAGCAUACCGGCGCCCGACUGACGCUGAGGCACGAAAGCGUGGGGAUCGAACAGG
rnacentral:rRNA from 1 species